rnacentral:lncRNA from 1 species
AGCAAGACAUUGUUGAAACAUCUGCCAUUCCCAGAAUGUCGAUCAUGUUCUUGGCCCUUUCUUGUGAAUCCUCUAGUACACCAAAUAUUUCCUCAUCACUUAAAUUCUAGGAAAUUUAAUUUGGUGACUGUUUCUUUCAGAUUGUGACUCUAUAUCUUCUUUUAUGACCAAUUUAUGAAGACGCUCCAGCAGACCUAGCAUACUGAAGUUUAUGACGGUUGAAAAAGUACUCGACAUACUUCUUAAUGAUCGAAACAAUUUCUCACAACUUUGAGAACCCAUAAUGUAUGGAGUAAAGUGCUCAGGUAACAUGAAGCCGACACAAAUAUUACUUGACGGAUCAUAUUCAACUGUUUUGACUAUUCUGGUGGCAUCCUCUGCAACAGUGACUAAAAGAGGUGCAUUAUAUUUAUGUAAAUGCUGCAACAACUGAUCAAAUCUGAAAUGUCCUUCUCGAAAUUGCUGAUAAUCAGAAUGAAUUAUUCCCUGCACUGUUCUCAGGGAAGGCAAUGCCUCUGACAUGUUGCGAUGAAGAAAUUCAUAUGCCAUUGGACCAGCAUUGAUUAAGAGGAUAGUAGCAAACUUUUUUAGUUCAGAAGAAUGUCUCCGCCCAUGGUCAAGUCUAUUUGAAUUUCUCUUGACAUUUUCCAUGAUAUGCUGUAGCAUUGGCGUAAUUUGACAUGUAGAUGAAGUACAUUCAGGUGUACUAUCUGUUGUGUCUUGGACUGUUAAACAUUGCUUUAAUAUGGUACUCAACUUUUCAUUUCUUUUUGCUACUAAAGAUAUUUCAUCAAUAACCUUUAAA